AGUGGCGGACGGGUGAGUAACGCGUGAGAAUCUGGCUUUAGGUCUGGGACAACCACUGGAAACGGUGGCUAAUACCGGAUGUGCCGAGAGGUGAAAGGUUAACUGCCUGAAGAUGAGCUCGCGUCUGAUUAGCUAGUAGGUGUGGUAAAGGCGCACCUAGGCGACGAUCAGUAGCUGGUCUGAGAGGACGAUCAGCCACACUGGGACUGAGACACGGCCCAGACUCCUACGGGAGGCAGCAGUGGGGAAUUUUCCGCAAUGGGCGAAAGCCUGACGGAGCAAUACCGCGUGAGGGAGGAAGGCUCUUGGGUCGUAAACCUCUUUUCUCAGGGAAGAACACAAUGACGGUACCUGAGGAAUAAGCAUCGGCUAACUCCGUGCCAGCAGCCGCGGUAAUACGGAGGAUGCAAGCGUUAUCCGGAAUGAUUGGGCGUAAAGCGUCCGCAGGUGGCUAUGUAAGUCUGCUGUUAAAGAGUCUAGCUCAACUAGAUAGAGCAGUGGAAACUACAUGGCUAGAGUGCGUUCGGGGCAGAGGGAAUUCCUGGUGUAGCGGUGAAAUGCGUAGAGAUCAGGAAGAACACCGGUGGCGAAGGCGCUCUGCUAGGCCGCAACUGACACUGAGGGACGAAAGCUAGGGGAGCGAAUGGGAUUAGAUACCCCAGUAGUCCUAGCCGUAAACGAUGGAUACUAGGCGUGGCUUGUAUCGACCCGAGCCGUGCCGUAGCUAACGCGUUAAGUAUCCCGCCUGGGGAGUACGCCGGCAACGGUGAAACUCAAAGGAAUUGACGGGGGCCCGCACAAGCGGUGGAGUAUGUGGUUUAAUUCGAUGCAACGCGAAGAAGGAA
rnacentral:rRNA from 1 species